UACGUAGGGUGCAAGCGUUGUCCGGAAUUAUUGGUCGUAAAGAGCUCGUAUGCGGAUUGUCGCGUCUGCUGUGAAAAUCCGAGGCUCAACCUCGGACCUGCAGUGGGUACGGGCAAACUAGAGUGCGGUAGGGGAGAUUGGAAUUCCUGGUGUAGCGGUGGAAUGCGCACAUAUCAGGAGGAACACCAAUGGCGAAGGCAGAUCUCUGGCUCGUAACUGACGCUGAGGAGCGAAAGCGUGGGGAGCGAACAGGAUUAGAUACCCUGGUAGUCCACGCCGUAGACGGUGGGAACUAGAUGUGGGGUCCGUUCCACGGAUUCCGUGUCGCAGCUAACGGAUUAAGUUCCCCGCCUGGGGAGUACGGCCGCAAGGCUAAAAUUCAAAGGAAUUGACGGGGGCCCGCACAAGCGGCGGAGCAUGCGGAUUAAUUCGAUGCAACGCGAAGAACCUUACCAAGGCUUGACAUAUAGAGGAAAAGUGUAGAAAUACUACUCCCCGCAAGGUCUCUAUACAGGUGGUGCAUGGUUGUCGUCAGCUCGUGUCGUGAGAUGUUGGGUUAAGUGCCGCAACGAGCGCAGCCCUCGUCCUAUGUUGCCAGCACGUAAAGGUGGGAACUCAUGGGAUACCGCCGGGGUCAACUCGGAGGAAGGUGGGGAUGACGUCAAAUCAUCAUGCCCUUUAUGUCUUGGGCUUCCCGCAUGCUACAACGGCUGGUACAGAGGGCUGCGAUAUCGCAAGAUGGAGCGAAUCCCAAAAAGCCAGUUUCAGUUCGGAUUGAGGUGUGCAACUCGACCUCAUGAAAUUGGAGUCGCUAGUAAUCGUGAAUCAGCAACGUCACGGUGAAUACGUUCCCGGGCCU
rnacentral:rRNA from 1 species